AGCUUGCUCCGCUGCCGAGUGGCGAACGGGUGAGUAAUAUAUCGGAACGUACCCAAGAGUGGGGGAUAACGUAGCGAAAGUUACGCUAAUACCGCAUACGAUCUAAGGAUGAAAGCAGGGGAUCUUCGGACCUUGUGCUCCUGGAGCGGCCGAUAUCUGAUUAGCUAGUUGGUGAGGUAAAGGCUCACCAAGGCGACGAUCAGUAGCUGGUCUGAGAGGACGACCAGCCACACUGGAACUGAGACACGGUCCAAACUCCUACGGGAGGCAGCAGUGGGGAAUUUUGGACAAUGGGCGCAAGCCUGAUCCAGCAAUGCCGCGUGAGUGAAGAAGGCCUUCGGGUUGUAAAGCUCUUUUGUCAGGGAAGAAACGGGAGUGGCUAAUAUCCAUUCCUAAUGACGGUACCUGAAGAAUAAGCACCGGCUAACUACGUGCCAGCAGCCGCGGUAAUACGUAGGGUGCAAGCGUUAAUCGGAAUUACUGGGCGUAAAGCGUGCGCAGGCGGUUUUGUAAGUCUGUCGUGAAAUCCCCGGGCUCAACCUGGGAAUUGCGAUGGAGACUGCAAGGCUAGAAUCUGGCAGAGGGGGGUAGAAUUCCACGUGUAGCAGUGAAAUGCGUAGAGAUGUGGAGGAACACCGAUGGCGAAGGCAGCCCCCUGGGUCAAGAUUGACGCUCAUGCACGAAAGCGUGGG
rnacentral:rRNA from 1 species